rnacentral:rRNA from 1 species
UACGUAGGGGGCAAGCGUUGUCCGGAUUUAUUGGGCGUAAAGAGCGUGUAGGCGGUUAGGUAGGUCCGUUGUGAAAACUCGAGGCUCAACCUCGAGACGCCGAUGGAAACCAUCUGACUAGAGUCCGGAAGAGGAGAGUGGAAUUCCUGGUGUAGCGGUGAAAUGCGCAGAUAUCAGGAGGAACACCGGUGGCGAAGGCGGGUCUCUGGGCCGACACUGACGCUGAGGAGCGAAAGCGUGGGGAGCGAACAGG